UACGAAGGGGGGCUAGCGUUGCUCGGAAUCACUGGGCGUAAAGCGCACGUAGGCGGCUUACUAAGUCAGGGGUGAAAUCCUGGAGCUCAACUCCAGAACUGCCUUUGAUACUGAAGAUCUUGAGUCCGGGAGAGGUGAGUGGAACUGCGAGUGUAGAGGUGAAAUUCGUAGAUAUUCGCAAGAACACCAGUGGCGAAGGCGGCUCACUGGCCCGGUACUGACGCUGAGGCACGAAAGCGUGGGGAGCAAACAGG
rnacentral:rRNA from 1 species